UCGAACGGGAUCCCUGGCAGCUUGCUGUCGGGGUGAGAGUGGCGAACGGGUGAGUAAUGCGUGACCAACCUGCCCUGUGCACCGGAAUAGCUCCUGGAAACGGGUGGUAAUACCGGAUGCUCCGCUCCAUCGCAUGGUGGGGUGGGAAAUGCUUUUGCGGCAUGGGAUGGGGUCGCGUCCUAUCAGGUAGUCGGCGGGGUAACGGCCCACCGAGCCUACGACGGGUAGCCGGCCUGAGAGGGCGACCGGCCACAUUGGGACUGAGAUACGGCCCAAACUCC
rnacentral:rRNA from 1 species